rnacentral:rRNA from 1 species
CGCGGCCUAUCAGCUUGUUGGUGAGGUAACGGCUCACCAAGGCAUCGACGGGUAGCUGGUCUGAGAGGACGAUCAGCCACACUGGGACUGAGACACGGCCCAGACUCCUACGGGAGGCAGCAGUAGGGAAUCUUGCGCAAUGGGCGAAAGCCUGACGCAGCAACGCCGCGUGGGGGAUGAAUGCCUUCGGGUUGUAAACCCCUUUCAGCAGGGACGAAAAUGACGGUACCUGCAGAAGAAGCUCCGGCCAACUACGUGCCAGCAGCCGCGGUAAUACGUAGGGAGCGAGCGUUGUCCGGAAUUAUUGGGCGUAAAGAGCUCGUAGGCGGUUCAGUAAGUCGGGUGUGAAAACUCAAGGCCCAACCUUGAGACGCCACUCGAUACUGCUGUGACUUGAGUCCGGUAGAGGAGUGUGGAAUUCCUGGUGUAGCGGUGAAAUGCGCAGAUAUCAGGAGGAACACCAGCGGCGAAGGCGGCACUCUGGGCCGGUACUGACGCUGAGGAGCGAAAGCAUGGGGAGCAAACAGGAUUAGAUACCCUGGUAGUCCAUGCCGUAAACGUUGGGCACUAGGUAUGGGAUCAUAUCAACGGAUUCCGUGCCGUAGCUAACGCAUUAAGUGCCCCGCCUGGGGAGUACGG